GCCGGAGUAGCUCAGUUGGUAGAGCACGUCUCUUGUAAAGACGAGUGCGUCGGUUCGAGUCCGACCUCCGGCU
rnacentral:tRNA from 1 species